rnacentral:tRNA from 1 species
GCCUGGAUAGCUCAGUCGGCCAGAGCAAUAGUUUUGUAAACUAUGGGUCGUCGGUUCGAAUCCGACUCCAGGCU